UAAAGCGAGAGAUUGAACGUUAUAGGGUCCUGGAAGGGGAAAGGCCAACCCAGCGCCUACCGCAAGCGCCUGGCUAUGACCGAUCCGUACCAAGAUGGCAACGUCUAGAGAGCCUGUUCCUACAAAUCCUGCAAUCCACAACCACCUCCUUCACUUCAGCAGAAAGUUUCUUAGCUCACGGUGCCAGUUCUUACGUCGAAAGAGUCCUGUGUCUACACUGGAGGGUGGAAAAAUUCCCCUUUUCUGAUGUGGUUUUCCCUUCUCUCUGGUAAGUAUUUUUUAAAACUGCGUUUGUCAUUAUUUGGCCUCUUAUUUUACUUCAAUUACAAAAAUCGUCCAUUUAAGUUGCUUACAGCAUAAAUUCCGCCACUUCAGUAUGCGCUAAAGCUCAUGGACAGGCUCCAGGUAGAGUCUGCUUCAUUUUAUAAUAUAGUACCUUGUUUAUUUGAACUACAUCAAAGCGUAAAAGCAACUUCUCUGAACUCGUAAUAAUCUUAUGUUCUAAUGUAGCUGAAGUUCUUACAAAGUUAAUGCUUGUUGCCCUUACAGCCUGAAAACACACACAUAAUAAUAGACCAGGGAUUUUUAAAAAGUAUUAUUAUAGUUUUUAACUAGUUUAGGGGAUUAUAUUGUUGUUUUUAUUACUUGGUACUGCCUGUCGAAAUGUGUAAUGCACAUAUAUUCUCUAACUUUAUUCUUUCCAAGUUCAUUAAGGAUUACAGUGCUAUUAUUUUAGGUUUUUGACUGGUCUGUGCAUUUCAUAAUUUUUUCUCUCAUGUUUACAUUUAAUUCUUUGAGUAGUAAGUUCUAAAAUGCCUGACCUGUCCUGGCUGGAGUAAUUAUUAUAAAUUAUUACCAUAUUGUGCUUUGUCAUUCAUUGAUUGUACCACUUUAAAUAAAUAAUAGUAUCCUUCUAGAAUGUAAAUUUAG
rnacentral:lncRNA from 1 species